rnacentral:lncRNA from 1 species
UCGUCACCAGAUUCUUGGGAGAGCGUACAUAGUCCUUGCCACUUAGGGUAGGAGUGUCCAGGGGCUGGCCUUGCGUGUUUGGAUUUCUUUGUUGAUUGAGAAAGUUGGAAAUGUGAGCUGUUGGGAAAUUGAAAACCUUAUGCACUCAGCUGAGGCGGGAGGAUCACAAGUUCAGGGCGAGCCUGUGCAACUUAGCAAGACCUUGUCUCCAAAAGGGCUGGACAUGUAGCUCAGUGGUAGAGCACUCCUGGGCUCAACCCCUAGCAUUCCACUCCCCACAAAACAAACCCCUGUGCACUUCCUCCAUGUCAGUUGUUAGAUUCUUCUAGAAGUAGAAAAGACCACUGACAGAGCGUGACUCGGGGGUGAGCACUGCAAGACCUCUAUUCUUUUUGUCACCGCUCUGCUUCUGUUUCCUCAUCUGUGAAGUAAGAUCCUGAGCUCACACACAGCCUCCCUUCUCCACAGGCAGUGGCCAGGGACCUGCUCUGCGUCUGUGCGGGGACUCUGUGACAGGCAUCAGAGCACUGCCCUCCAGGUGAAGGAUGUGGCCCAGCCUGGCUAGAGGCCAGGAGCCUGUCCUUGCUCCCCUGUGACUCUGAUGGGUUGAUUGGCAGGUAUCAGCUUGGCCAUGUGAAGUUGGGUGGCUCAUGACGAAGCAGAGAGUUCUGGUGUGUUUGCUGGAAAGGCUGCACUCAGAGCUCAUCCUUGUCAGUGGGCUCUCUGCAGUGGAGGCCUAGAGCAGUGGCCAGGCCUCCUGAGCCUGUCCUGUGGGCAGCAGCUUGCUGUGCUGAGUCUCUUAGGAAUAGCAGUGGCGCGUCCUAGAGAGCACAAGCCUGCUUCCAGUGCAGGCGGCAGUGGCACCUGCCUGGGAGAAGACACAGUGCAGACUCUUGCGGUCCACUGACAGACACUGAAAAUACUGGGGCAGGAGGGCUAUGGGUUUCAAUCUCAGCUUCUUUUUCAGACACUCGAAUUUUCUAAUAUUUAAAAUUCUGAAUAGUAUUUUGUAGGAAGUGGAAUGCCGACUAUGUCAACAGUUACUAAUUGUUUUUCUGUACUGCUAUUAAAACAUACGGGUUCAAGUCUGGGUAAAUUUCUGAAAUGCAAAGUAAAAGCACUUUAGUGUUUAUGCUUCCAAAAUUGGUCAUUGCUCUGUUUUGAUGUGAAUGACUUUUGCUUGCGGUGUCUCAUCAAUAAAAUUUCAACGUUUCCCCCAGAAA